AUCGCUUCUCGGCCUUUUGGCUAAGAUCAAGUGUAGUAUCUGUUCUUAUCGGUUUAAUAUCUGAUACAUCCUCCAUCCCAGGACAAUAUAUUAAAUAGAUUUUGGAGCAGAGAGAUGGAAUAGAAGCUUGCUCCAUCCACUCCAUGCAUCAACUUGGUAUUGCAGUACCUCCAGGAAUGGUGCACCCCCU
ensembl:snRNA U2 U2 spliceosomal RNA